rnacentral:Y_RNA from 1 species
GAAUAGUCCAAAGGUAGUGAGUUAGUCCACAGUCAGUUACAGAUUGAACUCCUGUUCUACACUUUCCCCCUUCUCACUACCACACUUGACUAGUCUUUA